rnacentral:rRNA from 1 species
GCGGACGGGUGAGUAGAACAUCGGAACGUAUCCAGUUGAGGGGGAUAACCUGGCGAAAGUUAGGCUAAUACCGCGUAAGCUUGAGAAAGGAAAGCAGGGGAUCGAAAGACCUUGCGCGAUUGGAGCGGCUGAUGACUGAUUAGCUAGUUGGUGGGGUAAAGGCCUACCAAGGCGACGAUCGGUAGCUGGUCUGAGAGGAUGGUCAGCCACACUGGGAAUGAGAGACGGCCCAGACUCCUACGGGAGGCAGCAGUGGGGAAUUUUGGACAAUGGGCGGAAGCCUGAUCCAGCAAUGCCGCGUGGGUGAAGAAGGCCUUAGGGUUGUAAAGCCCUUUCAGCGGGGAAGAAAAGGUAUUUGCGAAUAGUGGAUAUUAAUGACGGUACCCGCAAAAGAAGCACCGGCAAACUACGUGCCAGCAGCCGCGGUAACACGUAGGGUGCGAGCGUUAAUCGGAAUUAUUGGGCGUAAAGAGUGCGCAGGCGGAUAUGUAAGUCAGGUGUGAAAUUCCUGGGCUCAACUUGGGGACAGCACAUGAAACUACAAAUCUAGAGUGGGGCAGAGGGAGGUGGAAUUCCACGUGUAGCAGUGAAAUGCGUAGAGAUGUGGAGGAACACCGAUGGCGAAGGCAGCCUCCUGGGCCAGCACUGACGCUCAUGUACGAAAGCGUGGGUAGCAAACAGGAUUAGAUACCCUGGUAGUCCACGCCCUAAACGAUGUCGACUAGUUGUUGGGGGAGUAAUCCUUCAGUAACGUAGCUAACGCGAGAAGUCGACCGCCUGGGGAGUACGAUCGCAAGAUUAAAACUCAAAGGAAUUGACGGGGACCCGCACAAGCGGUGGAUGAUGUGGAUUAAUUCGAUGCAACGCGAA